UUACGGCAAUAUCAGAUUGAAAUACCGCUUCUCGUACGAUCACCAAAGUUAAGCAACGUCGAACCUGGCCAGUACCUAGAUAGGUGACUGUUUGGGAGUACCAGGUGCU